GACGAACGCUGGCGACGCGCUUAACACAUGCAAGUCGAACGGAAAGGCCUGCUUUCCCUUGUGGAUUGCGGGUACUCGAGUGGCGAACGGGUGAGUAACACGUGAGUGAUCUGCCCCCAACUUGGGUAUAAGCCUGGGAAACUGGGUCUAAUUCCCGAUAGGACUGCAGGGUGGUGCCUGUGGUGGAAAACGAUUUUCUAGUGGUUGGGGAUGAGCUCGCGGCCUAUCAGCUUGUUGGUGGGGUAAUGGCCUACCAAGGCGGCGACGGGUAGCCGGCCUGAGAGGGUGGACGGCCACAGUGGGACUGAGAUACGGCCCAGACUCCUACGGGAGGCAGCAGUGGGGAAUAUUGCACAAUGGGCGGAAGCCUGAUGCAGCGACGCCGCGUGGGGGAUGACGGCCUUCGGGUUGUAAACUCCUUUCGACCGCGAGGAAGCCACCUGGUUGGAAGGGUGGUGACGGUAGUGGUAGAAGAAGUACCGGCUAACUACGUG
rnacentral:rRNA from 1 species